UGAACGCUGGCGGCAGGCUUAACACAUGCAAGUCGAACGGUAACAGAGAAUAGCUUGCUAUUUUGCUGACGAGUGGCGGACGGGUGAGUAAUGCUUGGGAAUAUGCCUUAUGGUGGGGGACAACAGUUGGAAACGACUGCUAAUACCGCAUAACAUCUCCGGAUCAAAGUGGGGGACCUUCGGGCCUCACGCCAUAAGAGUAGCCCAAGUGGGAUUAGCUAGUUGGUAAGGUAAUGGCUUACCAAGGCGACGAUCCCUAGUUGGUCUUAGAGGAUGACCAGCCACACUGGAACUGAGACACGGUCCAGACUCCUACGGGAGGCAGCAGUGGGGAAUAUUGCACAAUGGGCGCAAGCCUGAUGCAGCCAUGCCGCGUGUGUGAAGAAGGCUUUCGGGUUGUAAAGCACUUUCAGCGAGGAGGAAAGGUUGUACUUUAAUAGAGUGCAGCUGUGACGUUACUCGCAGAAGAAGCACCGGCUAACUCCGUGCCAGCAGCCGCGGUAAUACGGAGGGUGCGAGCGUUAAUCGGAAUUACUGGGCGUAAAGCGCGCGUAGGUGGUUAAUUAAGUCAGAUGUGAAAUCCCAGGGCUCAACCUUGGAACUGCAUUUGAAACUGGUUGACUAGAGUUUUGUAGAGGGUGGUAGAAUUUCAGGUGUAGCGGUGAAAUGCGUAGAGAUCUGAAGGAAUACCAGUGGCGAAGGCGGCCACCUGGACAAAGACUGACACUGAGGCGCGAAGGCGUGGGGAGCAAACGGGAUUAGAUACCCCGGUAGUCCACGCAGUAAACGAUGUCUAUUAGAAUUUUGUGGCUAUAUGCCGUGGGAUUCAAAGCUAACGCAUUAAAUAGACC
rnacentral:rRNA from 1 species